GUCGAACGCAGUAGCAAUACUGAGUGGCAAACGGGUGAGUAUAAUGUGGGUGUCUACCUUUUGGUUUGGAAUAACACGAGGAAACUUGUGCUAAUACCGGAUAAGCCCUUACGGGGAAAGUUUUAACGCCGAAAGAUGAGCCCGCACUUGAUUAGCUAGUUGGUGAGGUAAUAGCUCACCAAGGCAACGAUCAAUAGCUGUUCUUAGAGGAAGACCAGCCACAUUGGGACUGAGACACGGCCCAAACUCCUACGGGAGGCAGCAGUAGGGAAUCUUGCACAAUGGGGGAAACCCUGAUGCAGCGAUGCCGCGUGAGUGAAGAAGGCCCUUGGGUUGUAAAACUCUUUCGUCGGGGAAGAAAAUGACUGUACCCGAAUAAGAAGGUCCGGCUAACUUCGUGCCAGCAGCCGCGGUAAUACGAAGGGACCUAGCGUAGUUCGGAAUUACUGGGCUUAAAGAGCUCGUAGGUGGUUAAAAAAGUUGAUGGUGAAAUCCCAAGGCUCAACCUUGGAACUGCCAUCAAAACUUUUUAGCUAGAGUGUGAUAGAGGAAAGUGGAAUUUCUAGUGUAGAGGUGAAAUUCGUAGAUAUUAGAAAGAACACCAAAUGCGAAGGCAACUUUCUGGGUCACUACUGACACUGAGGAGCGAAAGCAUGGGUAGCGAAGAGGAUUAGAUACCCUCGUAGUCCAUGCCGUAAACGAUGUGUGCUAGACGUUGGAAAUUUAUUUUUCAGUGUCGCAGUGAAAGCAUUAAGCACACCGCCUGGGGAGUACGACCGCAAGGUUAAAACUCAAAUGAAUUGACGGGGACCCGCACAAGCAGUGGAGCAUGUGGUUUAAUUCGAAGAUACGCGCAGAACCUUACCAACACUUGACAUGUUCGUCGCGAGACCAAGAGAUUGGUUUCUUCAUUCAGUUGGACGAAACACAAGGUGCUGCAUGGCUGUCGUCAGCUCGUGUCGUGAGAUGUUGGGUUAAGUUCCCGCAACGAGCGCAACCCCUACUUUU
rnacentral:rRNA from 1 species